AAUAAUCUUUGCAUUUUAAAUGUGGUCUUUUCAUUUUUUCCUUACGUUUGUGUAGUGAAUUACAGUUGUUGGUGCUUAUUUUUCCUAUUUUACUGAACCAAUGAGGCUACACUUUGAGUCUGAGGAUGAGUAUUACAAUAGAGAUUUCCUGAUUGACAGGUGUUGCCAGAUGAACCAGGAGGAUGAGCUACUACUACUUGUUGUGAACACAUCCCAAGCAUCCAGGGUGCCACUACUGUUGGGUGUAGCACCAUCCCUAGAGGGAAUACCAAACAAACACAGGAAGAAAAAGUCUUUAGCAAUCAUCUCUUACGUAAGGGACGUAUUUUAAGCAAAACAACAGUAUUUGUGCAUUGGUGGGAAAUUUUGUACUCAAGGUGAAAUUCGCUUAUAUUUUUUUUAUUUUUAAAUUUUUUAUUUUAAGCAUGCAGGAGAUAAUGAUUUCUUGGAAAAAAUAUAAAUUUUAAAGUCAGGACAGAACUAGUUAUGACUUUAGAUUCUGUCCCUUCUUGGCCAUAUGUUCUUGUCUAACAAAUUUCUUAAACUUUCUGAGCUCUAGUUUUCUUAUCUGUAAAAUGGUCAUCAUAUCUGCCUGAUAAGGGUUGUGACAACAAUUUCUAUUUGUUGGAAAGCCACCAUAGUAUGAUAGAGUUCCUACAGGCCUAAAAAUAAGUAAGUAAAGGAAACAAAACAGUGGCCUGUGUGGUCACUGUGCCUGGCUGGGUAUCUGUUGAGGUCACACACUGUGUUAUGAUUUGUGAUAGUCUGAAUACAAAAUAAGUAUGAAGGUUUAGCAUUUUCUAUAUUUUAAUGUGGUUGAAUGAUAGUGUACUCACUUCAAAGCUAAGAAAUUACUUUUGUGUUUAUGUUUUUACUAUUUUCUCCUUUGCAUAGAUUUAUUGAAAGGACACAUUUUUACUGGGAGUUUUUUGCUUGCUUCAGAAUUGCUUACAUUGUCAGUUUCUUGCAAACUCAAUAUAUUCUGAUCCUAUAAGUAGAAACAGAGAACUCCUGAAUAAUUAUCAGAUAUUUUGUUUUGUUUUCUCAUGUUGAUGAGGGCAGUCACCUUCCUUCUGAAUAUUUUGGUUUAGCACAUUUAAUUAAUGAAAACAAUGUUAAAAGGUUGAUCAGUUCCCAGUAUAAUACAAAUACAUACACAUGUGUGCGCGCGCCUGCACGCGCGCACACACACACACACACACACACAGAGGCAUACACGUGGCAGAGAUCAGUUGAUCACUGUCUCUCCCCUCUUCUUUAUUACCAAUCUUAUUAUACAC
rnacentral:lncRNA from 1 species